GAUGUUCGUUUGGAUUGGCUAAGACUGUGUUCCGACUCCUGAAGGAAAUCCGUUGGUCAGCUUAUCUUGAGGUAUUUGCGGAGUGAAAUCCUACAUUCAGGGAGAUUCUACUUAGCCUAGUUAUAUAUGAUUCGGCCGCAUUAUGAUAUGCUGCUUCCCGAUGCUCCACAUCUCGCGCAGCGUUAUGACCAUGCCACGCGCUGGUUUGCCUACUACUUGUUCAAGCAUGUUAUUUCAUCGUAGCCUACUGUAAUCAUUAAAAGCCUCUGAAAUCA